rnacentral:rRNA from 1 species
CUUCCAGACUCCUACGGGAGGCAGCAGUGGGGAAUAUUGGACAAUGGGGGGAACCCUGAUCCAGCGACGCCGCGUGAGUGAAGAAGUAUUUCGGUAUGUAAAGCUCUAUCAGCAGGGAAGAAAGAAAUGACGGUACCUGACUAAGAAGCCCCGGCUAACUACGUGCCAGCAGCCGCGGUAAUACGUAGGGGGCGAGCGUUAUCCGGAUUCACUGGGUGUAAAGGGAGCGUAGACGGCCAAGCAAGCCAGGGGUGAAAGCCCGGGGCCCAACCCCGGGACUGCCCUUGGAACUGCAUGGCUGGAGUGCGGGAGGGGCAGGCGGAAUUCCUGGUGUAGCGGUGAAAUGCGUAGAUAUCAGGAGGAACACCGGCGGCGAAGGCGGCCUGCUGGACCGCGACUGACGUUGAGGCUCGAAAGCGUGGGGAGCGAACAGGAUUAGAUACCCUGGUACCG